rnacentral:rRNA from 1 species
CCUACGGGGGGCAGCAGUAGGGAAUCUUCGGCAAUGGACGAAAGUCUGACCGAGCAACGCCGCGUGAGUGAAGAAGGUUUUCGGAUCGUAAAACUCUGUUGGUAGAGAAGAACGUUGGUGAGAGUGGAAAGCUCAUCAAGUGACGGUAACUACCCAGAAAGGGACGGCUAACUGCGUGCCAGCAGCCGCGGUAAUACGUAGGUCCAGAGCGUUGUCCGGAUCUAUUGGGCGUAAAGCGAGCGCAGGUGGUUUAUUAAGUCUGGUGUAAAAGGCAGUGGCUCAACCAUUGUAUGCAUUGGAAACUGGUAGACUUGAGUGCAGGAGAGGAGAGUGGAAUUCCAUGUGUAGCGGUGAAAUGCGUAGAUAUAUGGAGGAACACCGGUGGCGAAAGCGGCUCUCUGGCCUGUAGCUGACACUGAGGCUCGAAAGCGUGGGGAGCAAACAGGAUUAGAUACCCGUGUAGUC